CCCCUUCUCACGUUCUUCCCCUCACACUCGUUGGCCACCGUCCAGGGGGAGAGGUUCAAUUUAUAUACACUGCACAUUGCCCUUUCAUCCAACGUCCGCCGCUGCCUCUCUUAAUUAGGCUUAUACUCCACCGAUUGCCGACCGGGAAGAGCGAUGCGAAGCGCUCGCCGCUUUAGGCGGCGACGAGCAUCGAGGUCACCGCUUCUGCCGCCUACGUAGGCGGACAACCUCGCCUCCAUUGGUGGUUUCUUAUUUGGCUUCCGCAGUGGUGGAUGCUCCUCCUCCGUCGGUGGCUCCUUAGCACCGCACUCCGUCAAGCGCGUGGGCCCCUUCUGCUUUUUUUUUUUUUUCUUGCCAAAACAGAGUCUUACGACCAGAUAAACCUCCACCGCACACGAAGAUAGGAGACAGCCAUCAAACAACGAAUUAUUCGAUUCGAUUUCUCUAUGUAAGGUCUCUCUAUGUCUCUCGUUUUUGCUGGUGCACCCCAAAUUGAUUUUAUAUAUGCAGAAUUUUUUUGCUUAAACUGUGAUCACCUCUAUCAAUCUAUG
rnacentral:lncRNA from 1 species